GAGAUACACCUGUACCCAUGCCGAACACAGAAGUUAAGCCCUAGAACGCCGGAAGUAGUUGGGGGUUGCCCCCUGUGAGAUAGGGAAGUCGCUUAGCU
rnacentral:rRNA from 1 species